ensembl:lncRNA
AGUUGAUCGUUGUUGUGGUUCAAUGUUUAAGAGCCACUUGUUACUAAUACCUGAAGAACCAGAGAACACAUAUGGAAUCAUGUUGUAACCAAAAAUACGUUAAACAAAUCAAAAUAUAUUUUAUAUUUCAGAUUCUUAAAAGUAGCCACCCGUUGCCUUGAUGACAGCUUUGCACACUCUUGGCCUUCUCUCAACCAGCUUCAUGAGGUCCAUAUUAUGGAAAGAUCAGCUCAAAUCAGCAAAGAGAAACGACAGCCCAUCAUUACUUUACGACAUGAAGGUCAGUCCGUACGGAAAAUGUCAAGAACUUUGAAAGUGCAAUCGCAAAAACCAUCAAGUGCUCUGAUGAAACUGCCUCAUGAGG